rnacentral:rRNA from 1 species
AGUUUCCUACGGGGGGCAGCAGUGGGGAAUAUUGGACAAUGGGGGGAACCCUGAUCCAGCGACGCCGCGUGAGUGAAGAAGUAUCUCGGUAUGUAAAGCUCUAUCAGCAGGGAAGAAAGAAAUGACGGUACCUGACUAAGAAGCCCCGGCUAACUACGUGCCAGCAGCCGCGGUAAUACGUAGGGGGCAAGCGUUAUCCGGAUUUACUGGGUGUAAAGGGAGCGUAGACGGCAGCACAAGUCUGGAGUGAAAUCCCGGGGCUUAACCCCGGAACUGCCUUGGAAACUGUGCGGCUGGAGUGCAGG